rnacentral:rRNA from 1 species
UACGAAGGGGGCUAGCGUUGUUCGGAAUUACUGGGCGUAAAGGGUGCGUAGGUGGCGAGGUAAGUCAGAUGUGAAAGCCCAGGGCUCAACCUUGGAAUUGCAUCCGAUACUGCUUUGCUAGAGUACUGGAGGGGUGACUAGAAUUCUCGGUGUAGCAGUGAAAUGCGUAGAUAUCGAGAGGAAUACCAAAGGCGUAGGCAGGUCACUGGACAGUUACUGACACUGAGGCACGAAGGCCAGGGUAGCGAACGGG